rnacentral:rRNA from 1 species
CCCUACGGGGUGCAGCAGGCGCGAAAACUCCGCAAUUCGCGAAAGCGUGACGGGGGAACUCCAAGUGCUGCAGCGUUAGCUGUAGCUUUUGCUUAGUGUAAAUAGCUAUUCGAAUAAGAGCUGGGUAAGACCGGUGCCAGCCGCCGCGGUAACACCGGCAGCUCGAGUGGUGACCGUUAUUAUUGGGCCUAAAGCGUCCGUAGCCUGUCUGAUAAGUCCUUGGGUAAAUCCUGACGCUUAACGUUAGGAAUUCUAGGGAUACUGUCAGACUUGAGGCCGAGAGAAGUCAGAGGUACUCUUGGGGUAGCGGUGAAAUGCUGUAAUCCUGAGGGGACCACCAGUGGCGAAGGCGUCUGACUAGAGCGGGCCUGACGGUGAGGGACGAAAGCCAGGGUAGCGAACGGGAUUAGAUACCCCGGUAGUCCUGGCCGUAAACGCUGCGCGCUAGGUGUUGCAUGCUCUACGUGGGCAUGCAGUGCCGAAGAGAAGUUGAUAAGCGUGCCGCCUGGGAAGUACCAUCGCAAGGUGGAAACUUAAAGGAAUUGGCGGGGGAGCAC